GAUGAACGCUAGCGGCAGGCUUAAUACAUGCAAGUCGUGGGGCAGCAUGACUGUGGCAAUACAGUUGCUGGCGACCGGCAAACGGGUGCGGAAUACGUACGCACCUUCCCCUGAACUGGGGAAUAGCCCGGGGAAACCUGGCUUAUUACGCAGACAUAUAGUGGGGUGGCAUCGCUUUAUUCUUAACGUCCUGGCGUAUCGGGAUGGGCGUGCGGCUGAUUAGGUAGUUGGUUGAGGUAACGACUCACCAAGCCUACGAUCAGUAACUGGUGUGAGAGCACGACCAGUCACACGGGCACUGAGACACGGGCCCGACUCCUACGGGAGGCAGCAGUAAGGAAUAUUGGGCAAUGGAGGCAACUCUGACCCAGCCAUGCCGCGUGGAGGAUGAAGGCCCUCUGGGUUGUAAACUUCUUUUAUAGGGGACGAAACCUGUGUAUUCUUACGCAGUUGACGGUACCCGAGGAAUAAGCACCGGCUAACUCCGUG
rnacentral:rRNA from 1 species